UCCAUCACUGGAAAAUGAUGGGAUCAAUGAUCCACAAUGCCUCAAUAAUUGGCUUUAGUUUGAAACAAAUGACUAUUUUCUUAUAACUUAGAGUGUCAACCUAACCUUGACAAAACAUCAUCCUUUCUGAGCAGGAACUUGUCGCUGGAGAAAUGAACUUUCCUUAUUUCCUGGAAUAUGUCACAUUUGGUUUAUGCUUGUUUAGUACAUUUCCUUUUGGCCCAAAAUGUGUAUAAAAAAACAUAUGAAUUGAAAAUGUAUGGCAUGUACAAUGCAUAACCAUAAUUGGGGUCAAAAUAAAUACAAUUUUGUUUAUGAUUCUGUUUAUGAAUUUAAUAAUUUGUAUUUAAUUAGUUGAUUGAUAAUUGAUAAUCAGCCAUAUAUUAUAUUAGAGAUGUUAGUGGAACAGAGGUUUAAAUAUUCUUCAUUCUAAGACAUGAGACUGGAAUUCCUCUUUUUGGAGUAAAGGUUUUUCCCAGUUCAGUUCCUCAUAGUGAUGACUAAAUCUGACUAGACCGGUUUACAGUUUUGUAAUUGGGACAUUUAUUUUACCCCACAUUGUGUGGUUAUGUAGUAAAAGGAUGAGUAAUUUGUCGACUUAAAUAAGAACCUGUAAGGACUUCCAUUCCACUCGUUCUUUCAGUUUGAAGGAAACAGGAGCAACUCUAACAUUAGAUCCCGGAGGACAGAGAAGGGUUGACUGCAUCCAUGAUAAGAAGCAUGUUUCACAUCCAAGGACAACGAAGUUGGAAACUCCUGCUGUGUAUUUUGUCAUCAUUGAUCGUAGGCGUUGUGACGGGGCAGCACAGCGUCAGCAGCAGAAGUGAUUGUGCUAAAAAUGAAUACUGGAGCAAUGGGCUCUGCUGUGACAAAUGUGCUCCAGGGUAUAAGUUGGUAAGAAAAUGCUCUAGAGACUUGCCAUCUCAAUGUCAGAAAUGUGAGAAUGGGACAUUCCUAGACCAGGUGAACUAUUUCCCAAACUGCUUCAGAUGCGAGAAAUGCACCAAGCCAUAUGCGGUGGUGAUUUCACCAUGUACACCCCAAAAUAACACCGUGUGUGGAUGUCAGUCCGGAUACUUCAAAAAGUCCUUUGAUAGCAUUACAUGGGAAUGUAAAAAAGAAAGGAAAAAAUUGCAUGGCAGGAACCAUUUUUUGUUCUCUCAAAAAAUAUCUGUGAUAUUAGCCUGAAGUAUGACUGAAGAACACAGCUCUACCUCCAGCAGAGGCGUCAUGCCCAUUCAGAUUUUUAAGACAAGUGGAUUUUGAAUACAGCUUCCAAAAGACAAAAAUAGCCGAUUAAUAUUUUCUGCUGUGUGAGAAUGUUCAGCCAGUCAUAUCAUCAGCUGCUAAAUUCAGAUCUGCAUUCGCUGGCUGGCGCUAUUUUACAGGACUGCGCCUAAUUAUCACCAAUCACACAAGAUUCUGUUGAGCUUAUGAAUGCAAUGGCCAAUCAAAAGUGUUCCGCU